AUCGCUUCUCGGCCUUUUGGCUAAGAUCAAGUGUGGAGAAUGUAGAUUUUCUUUUUCUGAUUACUAACCACAUAGAAUAGAUGUAAGAGUUGAUUUCUCCAUCAUUUAUCUUCAUUUUUGUUAACAGAGAACUUUAAACAGCCAAAGAAUACAAUUCUCUAGAGUGCUAUUUCUC
rnacentral:snRNA from 1 species